GACGAACGCUGGCGGCGUGCUUAACACAUGCAAGUCGAACGGAAAGGCCCUGCUUUUGUGGGGUGCUCGAGUGGCGAACGGGUGAGUAACACGUGAGUAACCUGCCCUUGACUUGGGAUAACUUCAGGAAACUGGGGCUAAUACCCGAUAGGAGCUCCUUCUGCAUGGUGGGGGGUGGAAAGUUUCGGCGGUUGGGGAUGGACUCGCGGCUUAUCAGCUUGUUGGUGGGGUAGUGGCUUACCAAGGCUUUGACGGGUAGCCGGCCUGAGAGGGUGACCGGCCACAUUGGGACUGAGAUACGGCCCAAACUCCUACGGGAGGCAGCAGUGGGGAAUAUUGCACAAUGGGCGGAAGCCUGAUGCAGCAACGCCGCGUGCGGGAUGACGGCCUUCGGGUUGUAAACCGCUUUCGCCUGUGACGAAGCGUGAGUGACGGUAAUGGGUAAAGAAGCACCGGCUAACUACGUG
rnacentral:rRNA from 1 species